UCCCUUAUAGCUCAGUGGUAGAGCGCGUCACUAGUACUGGUUCUUCCGGUUAUGACGAGGUCCAUAGUUCAAGUCUGUGUGAGGGAA